GGCUCCUGCUACCUUCUGCGGGCGGAACGUGGGUGUCCCGGGAAGGGACGGACCCCAUCUCUACUAUGCCGCAAGCGCGUUGUGUCAACAGGCUGGCUGUGGACGGCCCGAUGAGCGUUACUUGAUUUUGUACUUUCGGCCACCUCCAAUUUUCUCAGAACGCAACAUAAGAAAANCUGUUCAACCCAAGGUCCAGACUUUUCAAGGGCUACUCUAUGGUAGUCCGAACUACUCACGGCUGACACUUGGCACCUAGUCUUCAUUCUGGGACCCCAGAGACAUUCUUCCCUGCUGUGACUAUGCAUGGGGAGGUGUGUCCGCUGCCCGGCAUCUCAGCUUCACAAGAGGCCCCACAGGGGUCUCUCACUUGAAGGACAAGGGCCAGGGAGACCAUGUCAGUGGGAAUUACCUGUGAGGUCACGAGCUGCUGCUUCUAGUUCACUCUCUGACCUCUUCCUGAAGAAGCCAAGCUGCAGAGAUGAGCUACAAAGGACAUUCUCAGAGCUGUCAAAAAGAAUCAGAGGAGAAAGGCUUCAAAGAAGACUCCGAGACCAGACCAGCUGCUUGGAAAAAGCAGAAGCCAGCUGAGCUGUCUGGAAGAAGUUUAGAUCAACUGAGGCACCUGGGAAGGACAAUCCACCUCCAACCUGCUGAGCUUCAUAAGUGCUGUGUGUUCCAGGUACCCAGCUUUGUGAGCUGUGGCCCAUGCUGGGGUAGGCUUUGGUGAUACUGCUGGUUUUGAGUCAUUUCUACUCCUGUAAGUAAUUCUUCAUCCAUACUCUUGUGCGUAACCCCAAUAAAACUCAUUGGUCCACCAAACUAG
rnacentral:lncRNA from 1 species